CUGAUCUCCACACACUUGCACCCCAUAUCUUACUGAUCUCCACACACUUGCACCCCAGUAUCUUACUGAUCUCCUCCACACACUUGCACCCCAUAUCUUACUGAUCU